GCAGCAGGCACGCCAAAUUACCCACUCCCGGUAACGGGGAGGUAGUGACAAAAAAUAACGAUACGGGACUCAUUUGAGGCCCCGUAAUCGGAAUGAGUACACUUUAAAUCCUUUAACAAGGAUCCAUUGAAGGGCAAGUCUGGUGCCAGCAGCCGCGGUAAUUCCAGCUUCAAUAGCGUAUAUUAAAGUUGUUGCGGUUAAAAAGCUCGUAGUUGGUUCUGCGUGCUACGCUGUCGGUUCGCCGCCUGUCGGUGUAACUGGCAUGCCGUGGCAUGUCCUGCCGGUGGCGUACGGGAGCCUUGCCAGGUGUCGACAGCGGGUCUAAUAGCUCGAUGUCGGAGGCCGGAGGUCCAACCCGUGCGCCUACUCUAUCCUACCUAGGUGCUCUUCACCGAGUGUCGAGGUAGGCCGGUACGUUUACUUUGAACAAAUUAGAGUGCUCAAAGCAGGCUGAAAUUUCUGCCUGAAUAGUGGUGCAUGGAAUAAUAAAACAGGACCUUGGUUCUAUUUUGUUGGUUCUUAGGAACACAAGGUAAUGAUCAAUACGGACAGGCGGGGGCAUUCGUAUUGCGACGUUAGACUUGGCAAAUGCUUUCGCGGUGAAAUUCUUGGAUCGUCGCAAGACGCACAAGAGCGAAAGCAUUUGCCAAGUAUGUCUUGAUUGAUCAAGAACGAAAGUUAGAGGUUCGAAGGCGAUCAGAUACCGCCCUAGUUCUAACCAUAAACGAUGCCAGCCAGCGAUCCGCCGAUGUUCCUCCGAUGACUCGGCGGGGAGCUUCUUCCCGGGAAACCAAAGCUUUUGGGUUCCGGGGGAAGUAUGGUUGCAAAGCUGAAACUUAAAGGAAUUGACGGAAGGGCACCACCAGGAGUGGAGCCUGCGGCUUAAUUUGACUCAACACGGGAAACCUCACCAGGCCAGGACAUUGGAAGGAUUGACAGAUUGAUAGCUCUUUCUUGAUUCAGUGGGUAGUGGUGCAUGGCCGUUCUUAGUUGGUGGAACGAUUUGUCUGGUUAAUUCCGAUAACGAACGAGACUCUAGCCUAUUAACUAGGCGUUAUCCGGUGUCCUCGCCACCGGCGACAAUCAUUCUUCUUAAGGGGACAGGCGGCUUAUAGCCGCACGAGAUUGAGCAAUAACAGGUCUGUGAUGCCCUUAGAUGUCCUGGGCCGCACGCGCGCUACACUGAAGGAUUCAGCGUGUGCGCCCCUGGCCGCGAGGUCUGGGUAAUCCAGUCAACCUCCUGCGUGCUAGGAAUUGGGGCUUGCAAUUCUUCCCCAUGAACGAGGAAUUCCCAGUAAGCGCGAGUCAUUAGCUCGCGUUGAUUACGUCCCUGCCCUUUGUACACACCGCCCGUCGCUACUACCGAUUGAAUGAUUUAGUGAGGUCUUCGGACUGGCGGUAAUUGUUAUCGACUCGUCGGUAAUAAUGAACGCUGGAAAGAUGACCAAACUUGAUCAUUUAGAGGAAGUAAAAGUCGUAACAAGGUUUCCG
rnacentral:rRNA from 1 species